AGAGUUUGAUUAUGGCUCAGAACGAACGCUGGCGGCAGGCCUAACACAUGCAAGUCGAGCGCGCCCUUCGGGGUGAGCGGCGGACGGGUUAGUAACGCGUGGGAACGUACCCUUUGGUAGGGAAUAGCCACUGGAAACGGUGAGUAAUACCCUAUGAGCCCUUCGGGGGAAAGAUUUAUCGCCAAAGGAUCGGCCCGCGUUAGAUUAGGUAGUUGGUGGGGUAAUGGCCUACCAAGCCUACGAUCUAUAGCUGGUUUUAGAGGAUGAUCAGCAACACUGGGACUGAGACACGGCCCAGACUCCUACGGGAGGCAGCAGUGGGGAAUCUUGGACAAUGGGGGCAACCCUGAAUCCAGCCAUGCCGCGUGAGUGAAGAAGGCCUUAGGGUCGUAAAGCUCUUUCGCCUGUGAAGAUAAUGACGGUAGCAGGUAAAGAAACCCCGGCUAACUCCGUGCCAGCCGCUGC
rnacentral:rRNA from 1 species